GAUGGACAUUAGCGAUUCAUUUUGUGAACCUUGACCGACCGCUAGAUAGGCAUUCAUUCCAAGUUCUUUCAUUUGCUCCUCACCAAUCACUCGAGUGGUGAGUUUACUGUCUGAAAUAUCAGCUAAUUGACGAGCUUGAGAUGCUAAAUAGCCUGCAUUACAGAUGUUUGGCGGCAUAUUGCUUAAAUCUUUCGC
rfam:Providencia rettgeri Dmel1 chromosome, whole genome shotgun sequence.